rnacentral:rRNA from 1 species
UACGUAGGUGGCAAGCGUUGUCCGGAUUUACUGGGCGUAAAGGGCGUGCAGGCGGUCUGUUAAGUGCAGGGUGAAAGCUCCCGGCUCAACUGGGAGAGGUCCUUGCAUACUGGCGGACUUGAGGGGGGUAGAGGAAAGUGGAAUUCCCGGUGUAGUGGUGAUAUGCGUAGAUAUCGGCAGGAACACCCAGGGGGAAACCAGCCGACUGGGCAUCUGCUGACGCUGAUGUGCGAGAGCGUGGGGAGCGAACCGG